GAAAAUUAACCUGUCUCGAUUAUAUAUAUAAAAAUUAAACUCCAGGUGAAGAUGCCUGGCUAAAUUUGAAAGACAAGAAGACCCUACAGAGUUUUAGUAAAUUUCCCAACCUCUAAACUCCUUUACUUUUGUUGGGGCGACAAAGGAUAAAUAAAAUCAUCCUUUUUUUAAUAGAUUAUAAAUUUCUCAUAAGAAGACCCUUCAUAAGAUCUUAUACCAAACUACCUUAGGGAUAACAGGCUAAUCCCCUUCUAGAGUUCUAAUCGAAAAGGGGGCUUGGCACCUCGAU
rnacentral:rRNA from 1 species